rnacentral:rRNA from 1 species
CUGGGCGUAAGCGGGUGUAGGUGGCGAUGUAAGCCAGAUGUGAAAGCCCUGGGCUCAACCCGGGAAGUGCGUCUGAUACUGCAUUGCUCGAGUGCGAUAGAGGAAAGUGGAAUUCCUAGUGUAGGGGUGAAAUCCGUAGAUAUUAGGAGGAAUACCAAUGGCGAAGGCAGCUUUCUGGCUCGUAACUGACACUCAGACCCGAAAGCGUGGGUAGCAAACAGGAUUAGAUACCCUGGUAGUCCACGCCGUAAACGAUGGAUGCUUGUCGUUGGAAGUGUUAACCCUUUCAGUGACGGAGCUAACGCGUUAAGCAUCCCGCCUGGGGAGUACGGUCGCAAGAUUAAAACUCAAAGAAAUUGACGGGGACCCGCACAAGCAGUGGAGCAUGUGGUUUAAUUCGACGCAACGCGAAGAACCUUAUCCUGGUCUUGACAUGUAUUGGACCGGUCCUGGAAACAGGCCUUUCUCUUCGGAGACUGAUACACAGGUGCUGCAUGGCUGUCGUCAGCUCGUGUCGUGAGAUGUUGGGUUAAGUCCCGCAACGAGCGCAACCCACUUCCUUUGUUGCCAGCAUUAAGUUGGGCACUCUAAGGAGACUGCCAGUGUCAAACUGGAGGAAGGUGUGGAUGA